rnacentral:lncRNA from 1 species
GAAGGGGCUCCAAUCGCUGGAUCUUUCAAGAAACAACUUGUCCGGGCUCAUACCAGAAUUUCUUGGGAAUUUUCGUUUCUUGAGCUAUCUGAAUCUCUCAUUCAACAAUUUUGAGGGUGAGCUUCCAAAACAUGGUAUCUUCACGAACCUCACUGCGUUCUCCGUACUUGGAAAUAGUAAGCUUUGUGGGGGUGUGCAAGCUCUGAACCUGCCUCCCUGCCCCACUCCGUCAUCCAGUAAAAGACAUUUAUCCCGGAAGCUGGUAGCCGCGAUCUCAGUUGCCGGAGGAAUAAUAUGCCUAAUCUUUCUCCUCGCUUUGUUUGGCAUUCAUCGUUGGAUACGUAAGUCGAAGAAGGAGCCUCGUGCCGCAGACAACAGAAUGGUUCCACAUAUGAUGGUCACAUAUGCCGAGUUGCUAAGAGCUACAGAUGGUUUCUCUUCUGCUAAUCUCGUCGGCGUGGGAAGCUUUGGUUCUGUGUACAAAGGGUUACUCAAUUAUGAGGAAUACCAACUUGUUGCCGUCAAGGUACUCAACCUCCAACAGAGAGGAGCUUCAAGGAGCUUCGUUGCUGAAUGCGAAGCGCUGAGAAAUGUCCGGCAUCGGAACCUCGUCAAGAUUUUAACAGCUUGCACAAGCACAGAUUACCGGGGAAAUGAUUUCAAAGCUUUGCUUUAUGAGUUCAUGCCGAAUGGGAGCCUAGAGAAGUGGGUGCAUCCAGAAGCAAACGAGCAAGGUCAGACGCGGGCGUUAAGCCUCAUCAAAAGGUUAAAUAUAUUGAUCGAUGUGGCCUCCGCAUUAGAUUACCUCCACCACCAUGGACCAGAGCCGAUUGUCCACUGCGACAUAAAGCCAAGCAAUGUUCUUUUGGACCAUGACAUGGUAGCUCACGUUGGAGACUUUGGAUUGGCGAGGUUCCUCAACGGAAGCCCCACUGAAGCAUCUCAAAGAUCUUCUACCUCCAUGAACAUCAAGGGGUCCAUCGGUUACGUUGCACCAGGUACAUUGCAUUAACCAAGAGCAAAAUAUGUUAUAUUUAUUUCCCAUUACUUGCGCAGUUGUGUUCCUCAAGUUCUUCUCUUUGUACAUUUAACCUAUCGAUUCAUCAUACAGAGUAUGGAGUGGCCAACAAAGUUUCAGUCGAAGGGGAUGUCUACAGUUAUGGGAUACUUCUACUCGAAACACUCACGGGGAAGAGGCCUACCGGUGAAGGUUUCAUGGACGGUCUCAGCCUUCCUCGAUAUGUGGAGAUGGCACUCCCGGAGCGGGUCUCCGAAAUCAUCGAUCCAAACCUGCACUUCGAGGAAGGUGAAGCUGCAAAUGGUCAAAUUCAAGGCACCGAUUACAUUCGAGACAAAGCAGUGGAGUGCGUGAACUUGUCGCUCAGGAUCGGCGUCAGGUGCGCCAAGGAAUCCCCACAAGAACGAAUGCAGAUGCGAGAUGUCAUCAGUGAAUUAACUGCAAUCAGGAACGGAUGGAUCCACCACUAGAUUAUGAUCCGGAAUUGGGAAGCACAAGGGAUUGUUAGAGAGGUUGCUUGCUCGAUCCUUCUGAAUAAUAAUAAUAAUAAAAGUAGCUGUGUGGUAUUUGUUUUCUUUUCUUCUUUUUUUUCUCACUCACCUAAUUAAUAUACGGUGCUUCACAAGCUGGUCCCGUGGACUCAGUUGUAUGAUACCUUUCUUAUGUAGAGUUCAUCAUUAAACUGCAUCAAGCUACUUGGUAACCGAGCGAAAAAUCCUUUGUCAUUCUAAAUUUGUAGUGACCUCAAUUGAUGGCUGUGAAGAGAACAAACGGUCCACUUAGCGCAACAGAUUUCAAUCUAUAUCCAUAUCCACACAAAAAAGAAAAAGCCCUAAAAAAGAUCGAACAUGAGGAAAAACGAAAGCCAAUGAGAGAACUUAGAAUUCCAAUGUUAAAAGAACAUGAGGAUCAGUACAAAAUGGGCUUAGCAUCCCAAAUGCCCACGAAGAAAAACGAGAGCCCGUUAGAAAAGAUAACCCUAGCAAGGACACAAAGGAAUGCCGCUCCAAAAUGAAAGUUCUCUCAGUUGGGACGUGUUAUAUUUCCCUGCAAUAUUGUGCGAAUAAACAUAAGUUUUAAAAGAGCAUAUAUGCUAAUUUUAAUAUUUGUAAAAGACUACAUGAAAUAAAAUUAAUGAAAAAAAAUACGAGAUUGUCCAUCACAUUCAGCUAUAACUAGUACGAUAAUAGAAAAACAAUAUAUAUAUAUAUAUAUAUAUAUAUGUGUGUGUGUGUGUGUGUGUGUGUGUGUGUGUGUGUGUGUGUGUGUGUGUGUGUGUGUAUAGUAUGCUCCCUGAUUAGUGUAUUACUCUUAAUAGACUCAAUCAAUAAAAAAUAUGAUCUUUCAUUGACAUCUUUAUUUUUUAGUUGAAUCAGAUAUAAGUUUAAUUUACUAUAAAAUAAUAAUUGUGUAAAUUAUAAUAUUUAUAAUAUAUUUUGAAAAGCAUAUUUUGAAAUUAUAUAUUUGUCAUGGGAUAGGUAUGAGCUAUAUAUAUAUAUAUAUAUAAUGAUGAAAAUAUAUUGUAUACAUACAUAUACGAUGAUAUGUGGUGUGGGAGUGUAUGUAUUUUCUUUGAUGUGCGAUUUAUGAGUGCAUGAAUAUCCUAUGACGUGCAGUAUAGAAGUAUACUUAUAUAUUACAGUAUACUUAUAUAUUACAAUGACGCGCGAUAUGAGAAUGCAUAUAUAUGUUAUGAUAUAGAGUAUAAAAGUCUGUAAAUUUAUAAUAUUUACUAUAUGUGUAUAUAAGUAUUUUAAAUUAUUUUGACAUAGAAUUUUAACUCUUUAUUUUCAUAUGUUAUGUUGUAGGAUUAUGCUUGCUAAAGAAGUAAUAGAAUUUAAUACAAUAUACAUGAUAUGAUACAUGCUCACCUAAAUAAAGCUAUAAAAGAUUAUACUUACUAAAUCAUUACUCACUAUAGAUCAUAUUUUUUAGGUAAGAAUACUAAUACCCCACCCAAGUGAUUGGGUAGGGAGUGAGCAUGUGUAAGUCCAUGACAGCGUAGAUAUAGACGAUGAGCUAAAGACAUUUUAUGUAUAUAAAUUUUGGAUAUAUUAUAUUUAUGUUUUCUUUUGGUUAGAUGUUUAAUUAUAUAUUGGUGUCAAAAAUACUGUGUGUACAAAGAAAAAUCUAUCAUUUUGUUUAGUAAGUUAGUAAAUUUUAAUUUUUAAUAUUUCGUUUAAUAAGUUAGUAAUUCUUAAUUUUUAAGAUUACGGACUUUUCAUUGUACUCCUAUUGAUAACAAAAAUAAAAAUAAAAAAUAUUUUAUUUUAUUUUAAUCAUACAUGUAGAAUAUAUGAGUGGAACCACAAGCAAAAUAUUUGAGCCUGGAUCACUUAGUUGAGAUAUCACAGCAGCGCACGUGAGGUGAUAAUAGUGCAUGUGAGGCUUCUAAUACUAUUUGUUACUGUCCAUCCUAAUAUGAUAAUUGACCUAUUAAUUUAUUAAGAUUAGAUCAAUAAUUUAAAAUAUAUAAACCAAAUUUAAUAGUUAUACACAUAUCAAACCUUGAUAGAUUAAAUUAAGUUUGUUUCGAUACUAAACCGUGGUAUUGCACAAAAUCAUAUAUAAUUAAAGGUUGCUCGAAGCAUUUGAUCAACAUUUGGCCACGCCUAUAAACAUCACUAUUAACAUUUCCUCGGUACACCGACAAUGAUUUUAAUUUUACAUCUAUAUAUCGCUUGUAAUUUGACCAAAAUAAUCCUGUAACAAAUAUAAUAAAUACUCUUCAAAUAGUAGCGAUAAGAGAAAUAACUAUCUUCGAGAUCGAUGCCAAAAGUCAAUUUGUUUAUAAAUUCUUUCCGGAGUUUAUGCAGCAACUUCCGAGAUGGUAUGGAACGUAUCAAAUUCACUUGCUCAAUCAAAUAAAAUAAUUGGCGUGGUGACGUCCGAAGAGCAUAAAGAGAAGAUCCAGCAGCAGCAGCAAUAUGAACUUGCGCUGAUCGUGAUCACAGUUCACACGCUCAUGUGAAACGCAGAACGACCCCCGAUUGCGAACUUUGACCAACGACGUCUACGAUCUUAAGUAGCCUUACUUGUUUGACCGAAACCGAUCACACAAGCAACAAGAAAAGGAUAUAAAUGUUGAGAUAUGAUUCAUAGUUAUCUAUCUAGAUUGUUAUCAUGAUCUAGUGGUUACAUGAUGAUUUCAAUAACUACUUGAUCAUGAUCUAGUAGUUUCAAUAACUACCUUAUGAUCUAGUAGUUAUAGGGUGAUUGUCAUUAGGUCCUAUAAAUAGGACCGUAGUUCAUCUAGCAAGAUAUAGAGAAAAAGACAGAUAGAUAGAGAGUCUGUGUGCACUUGGUAUCUUGUAAGUGUUCCUCCUGUUUUUAAUACUACAAUAGUUUUCUUGAGUCGAAAGGAUUCUUUUUUACUCGUAUCGUAGUAUUCUGUUUUUCCUUGCUCCUCCAUCCCCAACAUUUGUGGUAUCAGAGCCUAGUUUCAAUCUGAACUGGGCAUUAUGGCUUUUAACGGCAAUUCCAUGUCUCAACCCCUUAUCCCAAUCUUCUCGGGCAAAAGUUAUGAAUUUUGGAGUAUCAAGAUGAAGACUCUAUUCAAGUCUCAAGAUCUUUGGGACUUAAUAGAGAAUGGAUAUGCAGAUCCAGAUGACGAAAUCAGGCUGAGGGAGAAUAGAAAGAAGGACUCAAAGGCAUUGUUCUUCAUUCAACAAGCUGUACAUGAGACGAUCUUCUCAAGAAUUGCAGCAGCGACAACCUCAAAGCAAGCUUGGUUGAUACUUCAAAAUGAAUUUCAAGGCUCAUCAAGGGUGAUUACGGUAAAACUUCAAACCUUCCGUCGUGAGUUUGAAAUUUUAUUCAUGAAAAGCAAUGAAUCGGUGCAAGAUUUUCUUUCUCGAGUGACUGAAAUUGUUAGUCAAAUGAAAUCUUACGGUGAACAUCUUCCUGAUCAUAUAAUUGUUGCAAAGGUUUUGAGAAGUUUAACUCCGAAAUUUGAUCAUGUUGUUGCCGCAAUUGAGGAAUCAAAAGAUUUAUCUACUUAUUCAUUUGAUGAACUAAUGGGUUCCUUGCAAGCACAUGAAGUAAGGUUGAACAGGUCACUUGAAAAAGUGAAGAAAAAGCAUUUCAGGUUAAGGGAGAGUCUUCUACUUCAAAAGAAGACAAAAAAUCAGCAGGAAGAGGACGUGGUAGAGGAGGAUUUCGUGGUAGAGGAAAUGAAAGAGGAAGAGGACACUUUGAUGAACAAGGGCAAUCAAAUUAUAAUCAAAAAAAUUACAAAAGUGGAAUUCAAUGUCACUAUUGAAAAAAGUUUGGUCACAUGAAGGUAGAUUGCUGGAAAAGAGAAAAGCAAGCAAGCUAUGUGGAGAAAAACGAAGAAAAUAGUAAGUUGUUUAUGACUCAUUCACAUGUUCAUAAUAUAUCAAAUGAUAUUUGGUUUUUGGAUAGUGGAUGUUCUAAAUUGAGGUGAAGACAAAUCAAGGGAAGGUAAAAUACCUUGAUAAUGUUUUCUUUGUUCCUACUUUAUCACAUAACUUGUUGAGCGUUGGACAAUUAGUAAAUGAUGGAUAUCAAGUAAUAUUUGAUGAUGGUUCAUGCACUAUUAGAGAUAAGAAAUCUGGUUUGAUUAUAGUAAAUGUUUGCAUGACACAAAACAAGAUGUUUCCACUUGAUGUGUCAAAUAUUGAAAGACAUGCGUUUAUUACAACUCAAAAGAAUGAGUCUAGUUUAUGGCAUUUAAGAUAUGGACACCUUAACAUUAAAGGUUUAAGGUUGUUAAGUCAAAAAGGAAUGGUUUUUGGAUUGCCUAAGUUUAAUACACUUGAUGUAUGUGAAUGAUGUAUUUAUGGUAAACAAAGUAGAAAAUCAUUUCCUAUUGGAAAAGCAUGGAGAGCAUCUAAUUGUCUUGAAUUAAUUCAUGCUGACUUAUGUGGACCUAUGAAUACAAAAUCAUUUGGUGGAAGUCAAUAUUUUUUAUUGUUUACGGAUGAUUAUAGUCGCAUGAGUUGGGUAUAUUUUUUGAAAUUGAAAUCUGAAACAUUUGAUAAUUUUCGAAAGUUUAAGGCACUUGUAGAAAGACAAAGUGGUAGAUAUAUAAAGACACUUCGGACAGAUAGAGGUGGUGAAUUUUUAUCUAAUGAGUUUAGUUCUUUUUGUGAAGAAAAUGGUAUUUACAGAGAAUUGACAGCACCAUAUACACCGGAGCAGAAUGGUGUAGCUGAGCGUAAGAAUCGGACUGUCGUUGAAAUGGCAAGAAGUUUGCUUAAAGGAAAACAUCUUCCAAAUCAGUUUUGGGCAGAAGCAGUUGCAACAACAGUUUAUUUGUUGAAUAUUUUACCAACAAAGGCUGUUAUGAAUCGAACUCCUUUUGAGGCUUGGUAUGGUAUGAAACCAAGUGUUAGACAUCUAAGAAUUUUUGGUUGUAUUGCUUAUGCUUUAGUGAAUUCACAAAAUCAUCACAAGCUUGAUGAAAAAUCAGAGAAAUGCAUUUUAAUUGGUUAUUCUUUACGAUCUAAAGCAUAUCGAUUAUAUAACUCUGUUAAUGGCAAAGUUAUUAUUAACAGAAAUGUUAUGUUUGAUGAAAGGGCAAGUUGGAAUUGGGAGACCAAUAAAGGUGAAACACAAAUGCAGAUUCCAGCAGAAUUAGACACUCCGCAGAAUCAAGUGACAGAUCCUACUCCAACAAAUUCAUCGUCAACCUCACCCAAUAGCAGUUCAAAUUCGGAUUCUUUAGAUGAAACCCCUCCAAGAAAUUUCAGAUCACUGACAGAAAUUUAUAACUCAACAUUUGCUUUGUUUAUUUCAAAUCCGAAGGAGGAAAUCAAGUCAAUUGAGAAGAAUGAAACUUAGGAGCUAAUGGAUCUACCGAAAGAAAAGAAAGCGACUGGGUUAAAAUGGAUGUUCAAAACAAAAUUUAAAUGUAAAUUAUUUGGUUUCACUGAUAGUGAUUGUGUAGGAGAUCGAAAGAGUACUUCAGGCAAGUGGAGCCACAACAAUGAAGUAUUAUGGAACGGAUGAACAAGUUACGGAUAUCCUCACCAAAUCACAUCCAAGAAUAUUUAUUUUAUGUCACAAAUUGGAGUAUGCAACUAUGAAUCAAGGGGGAGUGUUGAGAUAUGAUUCAUAGUUAUCUAUCUAGAUUGUUAUCAUGAUCUAGUGGUUAUAUGAUGAUUUCAAUAACCACUUUAAUCAUGAUCUAGUAGUUAUAAGGUGGUUUCAAUAACUACCUUAUGAUCUAGUAGUUAUAGGGUGGUUGUCACUAAGUCCUAUAAAUAGGACCGUAGUUCAUCUAGCAAGAUAUAGAGAUUGAGGAGAGGAAGAUAGAGAGUCUGUGUGCAUUUGGUAUCUUGUAAGUAUCUUUUCAAUCCUCCUGCUUUUAAUAUACAUCAGUUUUCUUGAGUCGAAAGGAUUCUUUUACUCGUAUCGUAGUAUUCUGUUUUUUUCUUGCUCCUCCAUCCCCAACAUUGAGUAGCUAAUGGAUAAAUUUAUCGACUUCCUACGACUCAACUCAAAAGAUUUUACUUAUUCUGAAUGACAUACUUCAUAUCAAUCAAACCAUGUCAUAAUACCGAAUAUCGACUUAACAUCGAGCCCCACCAUUGGCUGAUUCACCAAAACUCACAAAAGCUCACCCCAAAUAACUAACCGACUAUAGUUGAAAGAAUAUAUCAUCCACCCGCGAAGUCAAAUAUGCUAAAUAGUGCUUGACCGAUACUUUAUUUGUAUUGGAACCUGCUUACCGACACAAUUUCUUCCACAGUAGCAAACCUAACCGCUCUAGCAGGGAACAAUUUUAGGGGAGUCAUCCCACCCUUCAUUUGGAACAUCUCCUCUCUCGUGGAGCCUGACCUCCAAAGUUAACCAACAUGUCGGGUCUCUUCCACAAGGUACUGACAAGAAUCUUCAGUGCCUUCAAAAAUUUCUUAUGAAUGACAAUCAACUUUAUGGAUCACAUCCGGAUUCAUGGUAUGAUGCUUUCAACUUGGAAGCCAUUCAAUUAGAUGUCAACUUCUCCACCGGCAUGAUUCCUAAAAGUCUUGGAUCCUUACUGAUAGUAGAUAAGAUUUCCUCAAUUAUACAAGAAAAUCUCUACUAAUCUGUAUACAGGAAAAUCUUCUAUUAUGUUGAGGGAAAUUCUCUCUCCUAAUCUGUAUAAAUAGGUCAAGCUUCUUCAAAUCGUUGCAGGUUUCUCCACUAAAUCGUUGUAGCUUCCUCCUCUACUGCAGCUUUCUCGUCUAUUGUAGCAUUGUUACAACUAUCUCCUCUACUAUAGCUAUCUCCUCGAUUGUAACAUUACUGCUCCUCUGCUGUAGCUUCCUCCUCUACUAUAGCUUCCUCCUCUGCUACUGUAGCUUUCUCAUUUACUGUAGCAUCGCUACAGCUUCCUCCUCUGCUGUAGCAUCACUACAACAUUGUUGCAGCUUCCUCCUCUAUUGUGGCUCCUUCCUCUAUUAUAGCAUUGUUAUAGCAUUCUCCAUUGUUGCAGCUUUACUGUAGCCAUCGCCGUCGUAGCCACCGCCGUCGCCAUCGCAGCCGCAGCAACAACAGCAGCAAUAUGCUCUUGCCCAACUCACGAAGCCUUUUGCUCGUAAAUUGUUUAGUUUACAUCGAUCCAAGAUUGGUAUCCUUGACAGUAACACUAUCUUGUGGGGGCAUGAUAGCAGAUAUGAUUUUUCUAAUUAUACGAAAAAAUCUCUCUACUCUGUUGAAGAAAAUCUUCUAUUCUAUCGAGAAAAAUCUUUUCUCCUAAUAUGUAUAAAUAAGCUUCUUCUUCUUCAAUGAAGAAAAUCUUCUAUUCUAUCGAGAAAAAAUCUCUCUAAUAUGUAUAAAUAAGCUUUCUUCUCCUAGUCAAUUUAUCGACGACCAUGGAAUUGCUCGCCGUCCAGAAUAACCAAAUGGCCGGAAGCAUUGCUGCAGGGAUUGGGAACCUCACUGGUUUGACUGUACUCUGGUUGUUCGCUAACCUUCUCAGUGGCAAUAUUCCAUCGACGCUGGGAAGCCUUCCAAGGUUAGGACUCCUAGAAUUGGGCAAAAACUUGUUCACUGGAGGAAUCCUCGGCAAUCUUACUGUGCUGAACCAAUUUGACCUGAACAUCAAUAAACUACACGGAAUCAUUCCACCGAGUCUUGGAAACUGCCCCCUCGAGGUGUUUGGAUUCAUAAUCCAUGGCUAUACUUCUAUUUGGAUCGCUCAUCCUAUAAACUUUUGUUAAAUCGUGUUGUGUAUUCAAGUCAAGAUUUGGAGACAAUAUUAGAGUGUUUGAGCCGGCUUGGACUUGACUCUAGUUAUAAAUAUUCAUGUGUUUAAAAGAUAUUUUUAAUAUUUAAAUGAAUAGGCUCUUUCUCAUAUGUAUACUAUUAUGAAUUGGUUUGCAAAUUUUGUCAGAUCCAAGUGAUAAAAUAGGACUCAAAAUGAUGGUUUUUCCCACUGGGCUCUUCUUUUUUUUCAAUGCUCAUGUAUGAAGAUUAGGUUGCAUUGACUUGGACACGAAGACAAUAGAAGUCAUGCUACGUAUUUAAUGGCGUGCUCCAGUGCCAUCAAAUAUAUUAUUGGCCUCAAAUUUUAUUCAUGAACAUUGGUUUCUCUAUAAACUCGAAUGGUUGCCUGGUCACAGCCAUUUAUGAUAUUAGAUAUGUUAGAAAUUAGCAAGUACAAAUAUAUUUUGAUAAAAUAUAUAAUUUACUGAAAAACAGAAAAAACAGAAAUAAAAAACCUAGAAGCAUAAUUUACUGUCCUAAGCUAUAUUUAUUGUCAUAUAUAUAUUUUUUAGGAACAUCAUCCCAAGAUACAAUCGGAUGUAGAUCCAUCUACGAGCAUGCUCAUGAAGGAUCAUUAAAAAUGUCCCAGUACCAACAUAAACAUAAAAUUGAAUGUACAAAGAAAAAAAAAGAUAGAAAUUAGAGAUUUUUUCUCAUAUCCUUUCGUUAACAUCUAACAUCUUUCAUCUGAUAAGAUGAUGUCCUAUCGUGACUUUGUUAGACUUAUCAUCUAAUAAAAUGAUGUCAUGUCAUGGCUCCAUCUAAUAAAAAAGUAUCGCUGCAAUAAGGGUAAAAAGGUAAAAUAAAAAAAUAUAUAUUUAAUCUUUUAUGUGUUUGACUAAAUCAUGUUGUCUAUCAAAUUAGUUAAUGCCUUUGAUAGAGAGUUAUAAGAAGGAAAAAUGAUUUUACUCAACUCCGGAUGUGAAACUAAAAUAAAAUUAUCUCAUUAAUGAUUACCUUCAACUCUAAUUGAGGUAUGAAGGUAUGCAAGAAAAAAUCGAGUUCUCUCGUUAAUGUUCCAACAACUUACCGCAACGCUACAUAUUUAUGUACAUCAUCUUCUCUAUCAAUUAAUUGUCCUUAUCACCAUCAAACAUGUGACUAUGGAGGGCUAUGAUGUAUGCAAUAUCUCUACUCAAGUCGACCUCAGCGAGACCUACUAUGGAGGGCUAAGUCAUGCUACUUCACAUCUCUAUUGACUUUUGGCUAUCAUCUUUAAUAUUUCUAGUUCUUGCACUCUCAUAUCCAUAUCACUAACCGCUACAUAUUAAUGUACAUCGUCUUCUUUAUUAAUGUAGAUCCAUUACUUGUCCUGAUCACCAUCAAAUCAUACGAGGUUACUCUAAAGAAGUUCAAAGUCUUUACCAUGUGAAUUCCAAUAUCUCACCCAAGUCGACCUCUAUGAGUCUUACCAUGGAGGAUAACUCAUGCUGCUUCUCAUCUGAAUUAACUUUUGUCCAUAUCACCUUUAAUGUUUCUAGUUCUUAGACUCUCAUGUCCAUAUCACAACCACUACAUAUUUUUUAUGUACAUAGUCUUAUCUAUUAAUGCAGAUCACCAUCAAAUCAUAUAGGGUUACUCUACAAAAGUUUAAGCUUUUACCAAGUCAAUUCACACUCAAAUAUAUCAAGCAAUAUCCUCCCAUGAUCUAUGCAAUACCUCCACCCAAGGCGACCUCCAUGACUCCAACCAUGAAAGACAAACCACACUGCUUCGCAUCUGCAUGUGCCUUUUCGCCAUCGUCUUUAACGUUUCUAAUUCUUGCUCUCUCAUGUCCUCUGGCCUCAUCGGCUUCCAUAUCCACCUUGAAUUCAAGCAACGAAAACAUCGAUCGCCUCGCGCUCCUGUCCUUCAAGUCCCUCGUGUCCGAUCCAUUCCGAGCAUUGGCCUCCUGGAACGAUGAAUCCCUCCAUUUCUGCCGGUGGCGAGGUGUGACAUGCCGCAACCAGAGUCAUCUGCCGAGGGUCACAGCUUUGGAACUGGAGUCUCUCGAUUUGGCCGGUAAGAUCUCUCCAUCUCUAGCCAACCUCACCUUCCUCCGGAGGCUCCACCUCGCCGACAACCGACUUCACGGUCCCAUCCCCCAGGAGAUCGGCCUGCUUUCCCAUCUUCAACGUCUAAACCUGAGCUCCAACGCUCUAAGAGGUAUGAUUCCGAUGUCGCAACUUCAGAAUUGUUUGCACCUUCAGAAUCCUGAAAGCUAAGUCACAGUAGCUUCCAUGGCACUAUUCAGCAACAGCCAACCUCCUCUCUCACUGUUGUUGAUCUGUCAAACAAUCUACUUGUAGGAGCCAUCCCACACAACCUUGGCCGCUGCUCAGAACUACAAUAUAUGGAUUUGUCAAACAAUCUCCUUGAAGGAGAGAUUCCCAAUGAUCUCGGUGCCUUGUCAAAGCUGAAAAUUCUCUACCUCGGGGGCAACAAUCUCACAGGAAGCAUUCCUCCAGAUAUAGGGAAUCUCGUCAGUCUAAGACAACUUUAUUUGUAUGAAAACCAACUCAUCGGUUCUAUCCCACCUGAGAUCGGAAACAUGACAAGUUUGACGACUCUUUCUUUGGCUGUCAACCAGCUUUCAGGAUCUGUUCCUCUAGAGAUCGGGAAACUUGUCAGGCUUGAAGAACUUUACUUGGACGUUAACCAACUCACAGGUAAUGUUCCUACUUCAGUAAGGAACCUCACUCCUCUUGUCUUUCUUGAACUCUCACAUAAUCAACUUACAGGCGUCAUCCCACACAACCUUAGCCAUUGCUCCGAACUACAGUACAUUUACCUGGAAAAUAAUACACUUGAAGGAGAGAUUCCCAGUGAUAUCGGUUCUUUGUCAAAUCUGAAGCUUCUCGCACUCGGGGGCAACCACCUCAGAGGAAGCAUACCUCCAGAAAUUGGGAACCUUGCGAAUUUGAUUGUUCUCGAUUUGUCAAGCAACAACCUUGAACAUUCUAUUCCUCCGGAGAUCGGGAAUCUCGUCAGUCUAAGACAACUUUAUUUGCAUGAAAACCAAAUCAUCGGUUCUAUCCCAUCUGAGAUCGGAAACAUGACAAGUUUGACGACUCUUUCUUUGGCUAUCAACCAGCUUUCAGGAUCUGUUCCUCUAGAGAUCGGGAAGCUUGUCAGGCUUGAAGAACUUUUCUUGGACGUUAACCAACUCACUGGCACUGUUCCUACUUCAAUAGGGAACCUCACUUCUCUUGUUUUACUUGCACUCUCACAGAAUCAACUUACAGGCGUCAUCCCACACAAUCUUAGCCAUUGCUCCGAACUACAAUACAUUUACCUGGGAAAUAAUACACUUGAAGGAGAGAUUCCUAGUGAUAUCGGUUCUUUGUCAAAUCUGAAGCUUCUCGCACUCAGGGUCAACCACCUCAGAGGAAGCAUACCUCCAGAAAUUGGGAAACUAGUGAAUUUGAUGGCUCUCGAUUUGUCAAUCAACAAUCUUGAACAUUCUAUUCCUCCAGAGAUUGGGAAGCUUAUCCGCCUAAGAGAACUUUAUUUGUAUGAAAACCAACUCACGGGCAAAAUCCCAUUGGAGAUUGGAAACCUUUCGAAUCUGACUAUUCUUGACAUGCCUUUCAAUAAGAUUUCGGGAUCUGUUCCUUCAGAGAUUGGGAACCUUGUCAGACUCGAACAUCUUUACUUGAAUAGCAACCAAAUCACCGGCGUCAUUCCUGCCUCGAUAGGGAACUUGACUUCUCUUAUUUGGCUUCAACUCUCGUAUAAUACACUUGAAGGAAAGAUUCCGAGCGAUAUUAAAUCCUUGACAAACUUGAAAGUUCUCUCCCUAGGGGACAACCGUCUCACAGGAAUCAUUCCUCCAGAAAUUGGAAACCUCGUGAAUUUGAUUGGUCUCUAUCUGUAUAGGAACAAACUCGAAGGCUCUGUUCCACGAGGGAUCUGGAAUCUUGUCAGACUACGUGAACUUAUUUUGCAGGAUAACAAUCUCGCUGGAAUUAUACCAUCUGAGAUUGGAAACCUCGUGAAUCUAACUGUUCUCAAUUUAUUGUUCAAUGACUUUGUGGGCACAGUUCCUGCAGCGAUCGGAAACCUCACUUCCCUCACUUAUCUUGGAGUGUCAUUCAACAAUCUUGGAGGAGUCAUCCCACCCUCCAUUUGGAACCUCUCCUCUCUCAGAACCCUAGAGCUCGAGAACAACAAUUUUACUGGGUCUAUUCCGCCGGAUAUGGGCAUCACUCUUCCCCUUCUUGAAGCACUAAACAUCAACGACAACCAGUUUUACGGGCCUCUUCCAAUUUCACUGUCGAAUGCUACCAACCUCUUCAACAUUCAACUAUACAAGAACAGAUUCACAGGCACCAUACCCAGAGGUUUGGGAUCCUUACAGAAGGUAGAUCACUUUGAUCUUUGUUAUAAUCAGCUAGAAGCAAGUAAUGCUGUCGAAUGGGGCUUCCUGGAUGAUUUAGCCAACUGUAGCAGCCUGAAAUAUUUGCAAAUAACAAGCAACAAGCUCGGAGGCUUCCUGCCACGAUCGAUCGUCAAUUUUUCUACAACCCUGGAAUGGUUUGAAAUCGACGACAACAACAUAGCUGGGAGCAUUCCGGCAGAGAUCGGCAACCUGGUUUCUUUGACCUCGGUUCGGAUGAACUCGAACCUUUUCACUGGUAAAAUCCCUGCAACAGUGGGAAACCUUUCGAAUUUACAUAUAAUGGACUUGAGUAGGAACUGCUUCACAGGAGAAAUCCCAGCAACCCUUGGCAAUCUAACUCGGCUAUUCGAACUCCGCCUGCAUUCGAAUCAACUGCAAGGACCCUUACCUCCGAGUCUUGGAAACUGCCCUCUGAAUCUCUUGGAUCUUUCAGUCAACAAGUUAAAUGGCACAGUGCCGAAAGAAAUUAUGGCCAUCCCCACCCUCACCAGGUUACUUAAUGUAUCUUACAAUUCAUUGGAAGGAUCUCUGCCAUUUGAAGUUGGAAAACUAAAAAAUAUUGGUGAAUUCGACAUCUCUGGCAACAGACUAUCAGGUACAAUUCCAAGAACCCUUGGUGACUGUCAACAACUCGAUAGUCUUGACAUGGCAGGGAAUUCAUUCCAGGGAUCAAUCCCUUCGUCAUUUAGCCAGCUGAAGGGGCUCCAAUCGCUGGAUCUUUCAAGAAACAACUUGUCCGGGCUCAUACCAGAAUUUCUUGGGAAUUUUAAGUUCUUGAGCAAUCUGAAUCUCUCAUUCAACAAUUUUGAGGGUGAGCUUCCAAAACAUGGCAUCUUCACAAACCUCAGUGCGUUCUCUGUGCUUGGAAAUAGUAAGCUUUGUGGGGGUGUCCAAGCUCUGAACCUGCCUCCCUGCCCCACCCGGUCAUCACAUUUAUCCCGGAAGCUGGUAGCCGCGAUCUCAGUUGCCGGGGGAAUAAUAUGCCUAAUAUUUCUCCUCGCUUUGUUUGGCAUUCAUCGUUGGAUACGUAAGUCGAAGAAGGAGCCUCGUGCCGCAGACGACAGAAUGGUUCCACAUAUGAUGGUCACAUAUGCCGAGUUGCUAAGAGCUACAGAUGGUUUCUCUUCUGCUAAUCUCAUCGGCGUGGGAAGCUUUGGUUCGGUGUACAAAGGGUUACUCAAUUAUGAGGAAUACCAACUUGUUGCCGUCAAGGUAUUCAACCUCCAACAGAGAGGAGCUUCAGGGAGCUUCGUUGCUGAAUGCGAAGCGCUGAGAAAUGUCCGGCAUCGGAACCUCGUCAAGAUUUUAACAGCUUGCACAAGUACAGAUUACCGGGGAAAUGAUUUCAAAGCUUUGCUUUAUGAGUUCAUGCCGAAUGGGAGCCUAGAGAAGUGGGUGCAUCCAGAAGCAAACGAGCAAGGUCAGACGCGGGCGUUAAGCCUUAUCCACAGGUUAAAUAUAUUGAUCGAUGUGGCCUCCGCAUUAGAUUACCUCCACCAUCAUGGGCCAGAGCCGAUUGUCCACUGUGACAUAAAGCCAAGCAAUGUUCUUUUGGACCAUGACAUGGUGGCUCAUGUUGGAGACUUUGGAUUGGCGAGGUUCCUCAACAGAAGCCCCACUGAAGCAUCUCAAAGAUCUUCUACCUCCAUGUUAUUCAAGGGGUCCAUCGGUUACGUUGCACCAGGUACAUUGCAUUAACCAAGAGCAAAAUAUGUUAUCUUUAUAUGCCAUUACUUGCGCAGUUGUGUUCCUCAAGUUCUUCUCUUUGUACAUUUAACCUACCGAUUCAUGAUACAGAGUAUGGAGUGGCCAACAAAGUUUCGGUCGAAGGGGAUGUCUAUAGUUACGGGAUACUUCUGCUGGAAACACUCACGGGGAAGAGGCCUACUGGUGAAAGUUUCAGGGACGGUCUCAGCCUUCCUCGAUAUGUGGAGAUGGCACUCCCGGAGCGGGUCUCCGAAAUCAUCGAUCCAAACCUGCACUUCGAGAAAGGUGAAGCUGCAAAUGGUCACAUUCAAGGCACCGAUUACAUUCGAGACAAAGCAGUGGAGUGCGUGAACUUGUCGCUCAGGAUCGGCGUCAGGUGCGCCAAGGAAUCCCCACAAGAACGAAUGCAGAUGCGAGAUGUCAUCAGUGAAUUAAUUGCAAUCAGGAACGGAUGGAUCCACCACUAGAUUAUGAUCCGGAAUUUGGAAGCACAAGGGAUUGUUAGAGAGGUUGCUUGCUCGAUCCUUCUGAAUAAUAAUAAUAAUAAAAGUAGCUGUGUGGUAUUUGUUUUCUUUUGUUUUCUUUUUCCAAAUCACCUAAUUAAUAUACGGUGCUUCACAAGCUGGUCCCGUGGACUCAGUUGUAUGAUACCUUUCUUAUGUAGAGUUCAUCAUUAAACUGCAUCAAGCUACACGAUAGCCGAGUGAAAAAUCCUUUGUCAUUCUAAAUCUGUAGUGACCUCAAUUGAUGGGUGUGAAGAGAACAAACGGUCCACUUGGCGCAACAGAUUUCAAUCUAUAUGCAUAUCCACAAAAAAGAAAAACCCUAAAAAAGAUCGAACAUGAGGAAAAACGAAAGCCAACGAGAAAACUUCAGAAUUCGAAAGUUAAAAGAACAUGAGGAUCACCCUAGCAAGGACACCAAGGAAUGCCGGUCCAAAACGAAAGUUCUCUCACUUGGGACGUGCUAUAUUUCCCCACAAUAUUGUGCGAAUAAACAUAAGUUUUAAAAGAGCAUAUAUGCAAAUUUUGAUAUUUGUAAAAGACUACAUGAAAUAAAAUUAAUGAAACAAAAAAAUCAAGAUUGUCCAUCACAUGCUUUCAUGAUCCAACAUAAUAGAAUAUAGAUUGUGUAAUGCCUGAGUCUCACACAUGUUCAGCUGUAGCUACUAUGAUAAUAGAAGCACAAUAUAUAUAUAUAUAUAUGAUCCAUACUUAAUGAUAUAAUGUCUGAUAUCUAUAUUUUAUAAAUAUGAUAAAUGACAUACUUAUGUUUUAGACGUUUAAAGUUGAAAUACAUUUUUUUUUUAAUAUUAUUCUCAAUAUUUUAUGAAAUAUUAGUUGAGCAUACAAAAAAUUAAUAUUUGCUUUAUGUAUAGUUUACAAUAAAAUAACAUGAUCCUUUGGCACAACAAGCCUAAGUGUACUAACGGAUUUGAGUAUAAGAUUAAAGUUAUGAUAAUAAAUAUACAUAUAGUAAUUAGAAAUGACGGUUGAAUUUUGUAAUCGAUCCUAAGUGAAUCUUAAGGCUCGAACGAAUUUGAAUAUAAUUAAAGUAACAAAGUUUAAAUUUUAAAUCUCAUAUAUAUAUAUAUAUAUAUAUAUAUAUAUAUAUAUAUAUAUAUAUAUAUAUAUAUAUAUAUAUAAGAUAAUAAGUUACUUAAGUAUGGAUGGUGUAAUAAAAAAAUUAAAUAGAGAUACAAAUAAAAAAAGAAUAUUAUACUAAAUGUUGAGAUAUAUAAGUGAGAUCGAAGAAUGAGCAUAGAUAAAAAAAAAAAAAUAUCUUUAUUAAACUAAAUUAAACUCAAUUGAAGUUGCUGCAACAUUAGAAUUGUUUUAGUAAAAAGAAAUUUGAAAUGAGAUGUAAUGAGAUUGAAUAAUAGACAUCAAGAUACCCUCUACCUCUACCUUAUUUUAGUCAUAUCUUCUUUACUUAUAACUCAUGAUCAUUUCUCUCAUUCUUUAGCCAUUUUAUCAGCUUUAUUUAUGGAGCUCAAGAAACCCUAACUCUAAAAAAAAUUGAGGUAAGAAAAAUAUAUUUUUUUUCUUUACUAUAUUUAGGAUUUUAAUUUUAUAAAUUUCAAAUUGAUUUUUUUAGCUACUUUUGAGUAACAUAAAAUUUGAAUUUAUCUUUAAUUUUUGGAUAUAUUUUAUAUGAAUAUCUUAUGAUUCUAAAACCUUUAGUGUAUUUGUGCAUGGAGGUAUGAGUAUCCUAAUAUGAGAUACUAUUCAAGCUAAAUUGGCUCCUCAAGGAUAUGAUUAGGUUUUGAGCUUCUGAUAUAUUUUAAAAUAUUCCUUUAAGGUUAUAUAAGAUUUGAAAUUGAGUGAGUACAACUUCUAUGCACUAGGAUAUGAGAUUUAUAAGUUCAAAUAGUCCUAACUCUAUUUCAGCAGAAUAGAAUAGGUGUUGGUAAUAAAUUAAGAGGAUAGUUUAACCUUCAAAUAAUUUUAUUUUAAGCUAAAAUUUGAUGUAUAUUUAGUUUUAUGUCUCUUAGUUUUCUAUAAAAUUUUAUGAUAAUUUAAGAUUAGAAUAGUGAAGUAAAACUUUUUCACAUAAUUGUCUGAUGGUUUGAUUGAUACUAACUAAUUCAUUUGAUUAUAGAGUAACUAUUAAAAAAUUAAUGGUGAAAUCUAGAUGUAUUUUUAGGUUAAGUAUAGUUUAUUUUAUAAAAUAUUUUAUCAAACUAUUUUCAUAAAUUAUUAUAGUGAAUUAUUAUAAAUCAAUAGUUCAAGAGAUAAAGUUCUUAAUUAAGACAUCUUAUGAUUAUGUGCUUCCACUUUGAUAAGUGUAUUACUCUUUAAUAGACUCGAUCGAUAAAAAAUAUGAUCUUUCAUUAACAUCUUUAUUUUUGAGUUGAAUCGAGUAAAUAUAAGUUUAAUUUACUAUAAAAUAAUAAUUAUAUAAAUUAUAAUAUUUAUAGUAUAUUUUGAAAAGCAUAUUUUGGAAUGAUAUAAUUGUCAUGGGAUAAGUAUGAGCUAUAUAUAUAUAUAUAUAAUGAUGAAAAUAUAUUGUAUACAUGCAUAUAUGAUGAUAUCUGGUGUGGGAGUAUAUGUAUUUUCUUUGACGUGCGGUAUAUGAGUGCAUGAAUAUCCUACAAUAUAGAAGUACACUUAUAUAUUAGUGAUGUGAGAGUGCAUAUAUAUGUUAUGUUAUAGAGUAUAAAAAUCCAUAAAUUUAUAAUAUUUACUACAUGUGUAUAUAAAUAUUUUAAAUUAUUUUGAUAUAGAAUUUUAACUCUUUAUUUUCAUAUAUUAUAUUGUAGGACUAUGCUUGCUAAAGAAGUCAUAGGAUUUAAUACAAUAUACAUGAUAUUAUAUAUGCUCACAUAAAUAAAGCUAUAAAGGAUUAUACUUACUAAAUCAUUACUCACUAUAGAUCAUAUUUUUUAGGUAAGAAUAUUAAUACCUCACCCAAGUGAUUGGAUAGGGAGUGAGCAUAUGUAAGUCUAUAACAAUGCAUAUAUAGACGAUGAGCUAAAAAUAUUUUAUGUAUAUAAAUUUUGGAUAUAUUAUAUUUAUGAUUUCUUUUGAUUAGAUGUUUAAUUAUAUAUUGGUGUAAAAAAUACUGUGUAUAUAGAGAAAAACCUAUUAUUUUGUUUAGUAAGUUAGUAAAUUUUAAUUUUUAAUAUUUCGUUUAGUAAGUUAGUAAGUCUAAAUUUUUAAGAUUACGGACUUUUCAUUGUAUUCCUAUUGAUAACAAUAAUAAAAAUAGAAAUAUAAUAUUUUAUUUUAAUCAUACAUGUAGAAUAUAUGAGUGGAACCACAAGCAAAAUGUUAGAGCUUGGAUCACUUAAGUUGAGAUAUCACAGUAGUGCACGUGAGGUGAUAAUAGUGCAUGUGAGGCUUCUAAUACUAUUUGUUGCCGUCCAUCCUAAUAUAAUAAUUGACCUAUUAAUUUAUUAAGAUUAGAUCAAUAAUUUAAAAUAUAUAAACCAAAUUUAAUAGUAUACACAUAUCAAACCUUGAUAGAUUAAAUUAAGUUUGUUUCGAAACUAAACCGUGGUAUUGCACAAAAUCAUAUAUAAUUAAAGGUUGCUCGAAGCAUUUGAUCAACAUUUGGCCACGCCUAUAAACAUCACUAUUAACAUUUCCUCGGUACACCUACAAUGAUUUUAAUUUUACAUCUAUAUAUCGCUUGUAAUUUGACCAAAAUAAUCCUGUAACAAAUAUAAUAAAUACUCUUGAUUCAAAUUGUAGCGAUAAGAGAAAUAACUAUCUUCGAGAUCGAUGCCAAAAGUAAAUUUGUUCAUAAAAUAUUUCCGGAGUUUAUGCAGCAACUUCCGAGAUGGUAUGGAACGUAUCAAAUUCACUUGCUCAAUCAAAUAAAAUAAUCGGCGUGGUGACGUCCGAAGAACAUAAAGAGAAGAUCCAGCAGCAGCAGCAAUAUGAACUUGCGCUGUUCGUGAUACACAGUUCACACGCUCAUGUGAAACGCAGAACAAACCCCGAUUGCCAACUUUGACGGACGACGGCUACGAUCUUAAGUAGCCUUACUUGUUUGACCGAAAUCGAUCACAGAAUCAACAAGAAAAGGAUAUAAAAUCAUUAGCAAGGCCAUGUUCGAUGGUCCCGUCGUCUACUAACUUUGAGAAACAGUGGGCUUUUUGUUCUUAUUGACGUUAGCUGUUCAACGAUUCAUUGAGAGUUCGGUGAAAGGAAACACUUUUCGGUCUCAAUUCAUCGGCAACAUAUAGUUUAGUGAUAACAUACACCAUGAUUCAAUUGCUAAGGAGAUAUCACCAUUGGAGUGACGACGGACUCCGUACAGCAAAGGCAAAGCGAUCGAAAGUUGAGGGCGACGGCGACAUAAUGGGGAAAGAGGUCCAUGGAUCGGUAGUUGGAAGUCAAAUGGCUGCUACCACUGCAAUGUAUACCCAUGCAUCGUCAUCGUCGAGCUGUUCUUGUCUUCAUCUGUGGCAAUCAUCUUAUCUUUCCAGAAACAGGAAACUAAUAAACUUGUCAUGUUUGCUGUCCGAGCGCAUCUUUUUCAUCUUUUCAGGGAAAAAAAAAUCUCGUGUUGCUGCAACACGCAGAAAGUUCUGCUGCCAUUUUUUAUUUUUUUUCUGGGACGCGAGUCAACAUAGCUAUUAGACAAUGACAAAAGCUCGUAAUAAAUAGACUCACACAACGGAAGGGCGAAACUGUUUAGCUGGCAGUCCUGCGCUUUAUCAACUCAUAGUCCAUCAUCAUCUCAUUUAAUCGAAUCCUAAUUUAUAUUAAAAAAGUAUAGAUAUUAUAUUUUAAAUUUUAUAAAAAGAGAUAGAAAAAGAUAUUAACGAGAUAGUUUUUGAUAGUGGGAUUAUAAAGAAAACGAGGAUAAUAAGAAAGAAAAAGAAAAAGAAAAAGAAGAAGAUAACCACAACAUGAAAAAACUGUUUUGCUUCACGCUACUGUACUACCUGCCGCGUUAGUACUUGAGAGGGAGUUAGUGCGUGCGUCAAAAGUUCCAUCGCGUCAAACAAAUUGAUUUAAAGUUGUUUCUCUCGGACCUAUAUAUACAGCAUCGAUGGCAUGGCUGCUCAAGCAACUCCAAUCACCGCUCUUGUUCUUCUCAAUACCCGAAUGGAGAUCAAACGGCGUAGCUCCGUAAUUGGGUCCUGCAGCUUUCUCCUUGUUUUGCUCCUGUCUGGCGUGGGCUUCUCGGCUUCCCAACCUGAGACUGCCGCCGCCGAGGCCACCACUGACCGCCUCGCCCUCCUCUCCUUCAAGGCCCUCAUCUCCGACGAUCCAUCCCGAGCGCUGGAAUCCUGGAACACUACGUCCCUCCAUUUUUGCCGGUGGCGAGGCGUGACGUGCGGCAACCACAGUGGCCAGCUGAGGGUCACCACACUGGAACUGGAGUCCCUCGCCUUGGCCGGUAAGAUAUCUCCAUCCAUAGCCAAUCUCACCUUCCUCCAGAGGCUGCACCUCCCACAGAACCAACUUCAGGGUCCCGUUCCACAAGAGCUCGGCCUGCUGUCCCGCCUUCAGCAUCUCAACCUUAGUUACAACAGCUUUCGCGGCACUGUUCCGACGACAAUAGCGAACCUCUCCUCCCUUAUCCUGCUUGAUCUGUCCUAUAAUCAACUUGUAGGAGCCAUCCCACACAACCUCAGCUCAGAACUACAGUAUAUAAAUCUGUCAAAUAAUACCCUCGUAGGUGGGAUUCCCGAUAAUCUUCGCUCCUUGUCAAAGCUGAAGCUGCUCGCCCUGAGCGGCAACAACCUCACCGGAAACAUUCCUCCAGAAAUCGGGAGCCUUGUAAAUUUGACUGUCCUCGAUUUGUCUAUCAACAAUCUUGAAGAAUCUAUUCCUCUAGAGAUUGGAAAUCUUAUCAGCCUUAAAGCGGUUUACCUGGAUUACAAUAAAUUCACCGGCGUUAUUCCUGGCUCGAUAGGGAACCUGACUUCCCUUGUUUGGCUUCAGCUCUCGCAAAAUCAACUUACCGGAGCCAUCCCUCGCAGCCUCAGCCAUUGCUCAGAACUACAAUAUAUUUUCCUGGGAAAUAAUAUGCUUGAAGGGGAGAUUCCCAGCGAUAUUAGUUCCUUGUCAAACCUGAAAGUGCUCUACCUGUGGAACAACCGCCUCACAGGAAGCAUUCCUCCAGAAAUCGGGAACCUUACGAAUUUGACGAAUCUCAAUUUGUAUAGCAACAGACUUGAAGGCUCUGUUCCGCGGGAGAUUGGGAAUCUUGUCGGACUAAGAGAAGUUCUUUUACAUGACAACCAACUCACCGGAAGUAUACCAUCUGAGAUUGGAAACCUCGUGAAUCUACGUACUCUUGCUUUGUUGAUUAAUGGCUUUGUGGGUACAGUUCCACCAGCAAUUGGAAACCUCACUUCUCUCACUUAUCUUGGAGUGUCAAUGAAUAAUCUUGGAGGAAUCAUCCCGCCUUCCAUUUGGAACCUCUCCUCUCUCAGAACACUAGAGCUCCAGAGCAACCAAUUUACCGGGUCUAUUCCGCCGGAUAUGGGAAUCACUCUUCCCCUUCUUGAAGAACUAGACAUCAACGACAACCAGUUUUACGGGCCUCUUCCGAUUUCACUGUCGAAUGCUACCAACCUCAACAACAUUCAACUAUACGAGAACAGAUUCACAGGCACCAUACCGAGAGGUUUGGGAUCCUUGCAGCAGUUAUUUCACUUUGAUGUUACUUAUAAUCAGCUAGAAGCAAGAAACGCAGCCGAGUGGGGCUUUUUGGAUGAUUUAGCCAACUGUAGCAGUCUGAAGUACUUGCAAUUGACAAGCAACAAUCUCAGUGGCUUCUUGCCGCAAUCGAUAGCCAAUUUCUCCAAUUCCUUGAUGUGGUUUGAAAUCGAUGACAAUAACAUAGCCGGAAGCAUUCCCGCAGAGAUCGGCAACCUCGUUUCUUUGACCUCAGUUCGUAUGAAGUCUAAUCUUCUCACCGGUGGCAUUCCUGCAGCACUGGGAAGCCUUGCAAAGCUACAGAUAAUAGACCUGAGUGGGAAUCGCUUCACAGGAGGCAUCCCCGCAACCCUUGGCAAUCUGACAAAACUUACCGAGCUUCAACUGUACUCUAAUCGACUUCAAGGACCCAUACCUCCAACUCUCGGAAACUGCCCUCUCGAACUCUUGGACCUUUCAUUCAACCAGCUAAAUGGCACGGUACCCAAAGAAAUACUGUCCAUCCCCACCCUCACCAGGUUCCUUAAUGUUUCCUACAACUCACUGGCAGGAUCUCUGACUCCUCAAGUUGGAAACAUGAAAAAUAUUGGUCAAUUCGACAUCUCUGGCAACAGUCUAUCAGGUACAAUUCCAAGGACCCUUGGUGACUGUCAACAACUCGAUAGUCUUGACAUGGCAGGGAAUUCAUUCCAGGGAUCAAUCCCUUCGUCAUUUAGCCAGCUGAAGGGGCUCCAAUCGCUGGAUCUUUCAAGAAACAACUUGUCCGGGCUCAUACCAGAAUUUCUUGGGAAUUUGAAGUUCUUGAGCUAUCUGAAUCUCUCAUUCAACAAUUUUGAGGGUGAGCUUCCAAAACAUGGUAUCUUCACGAACCUCACUGCGUUCUCCGUACUUGGAAAUAGUAAGCUUUGUGGGGGUGUGCAAGCUCUGAACCUGCCUCCCUGCCCCACUCCGUCAUCCAGUAAAAGACAUUUAUCCCGGAAGCUGGUAGCCGCGAUCUCAGUUGCCGGGGGAAUAAUAUGCCUAAUCUUGCUCCUCUCUUUAUUUGGCAUUCAUCGUUGGAUGCCCAAGUCGAAUAAGG